rnacentral:rRNA from 1 species
CGAACGUAGCCUGUCAUCCAAGAGGAUUGUUUGAUCGUAGAGGCAAUGUGGUGUUUAAAGUUGGCUUCUGGCAUUACUGCUCUUCCCCAAGUCCAGCAAUGAGUACGGCUUCCCAUUCUGGCCCAUAGAGGGUGAAAGGCCCGUGGGGGUAGAGACCAAGUGUGACAGUUCUGCUCAGAGCUCCCCUUAGAGUCGGGUUGUUUGUGAAUGCAGCCCAAAGUGGGUGGUAGACUCCAUCCAAGGCUAAAUACUUACACGAGUCCGAUAGCAAACAAGUACCGUGAGGGAAAGUUGAAAAGUACUUUGAAGAGAGAGUAAACAGUGCGUGAAACCGCUCAAAGGUAAACGGGUGGAGUUGAACUGCAAGCCCUGGGAAUUCAGCUGAUGAGUGUGAUUUGUGCUUGGGCAUACUGGCCGCCUUCAGUGUCCGUUUAACCGCGGGUGCCUGCCUUAUCGGUGGGUGUGUGUGAAUCGUUUGCAAGCGACGCACGCACUGUUGGUGUGAGGGUCUGCUUGUCAGUGCACUUUCUCAGGGUGUUCACCACGACCGGCGCUGCUGCCUGUCUGCUAUGAUCAAACUGGUCGAGUCUGGCAUUGUUGGGCUUGGCUGGGUCGGCAGGUGACUCUUUGGCUCAUUCGUGGGCCGUGAGUGUUACUAGCUGGUUGUAGUGGAUCUGUGCGGUGUGUCGGAGAUGGCGGCUUCGCAUGCGUGCUUAGACCUGCGGACAUUGUUGAGUCUGGUCGGUUUGUUACUGGCUUCGGCUGGUCGGCUGAUGGCUUGAUUUUGUUGCGUUGGCAGUUGCGUGUGUGAACGGCUUGGGCCCAUAGUCUGUGGUGUAGUGGUAGACGAUCCACCUGACCCGUCUUGAAACACGGACCAAGGAGUUUAACAUGUGCGCGAGUCAUUGGGUGUUACGAAACCCAAAGGCGAAGUGAAGGUAAAGGUUCGGCUUGUCCGGGCUGAGUGAGACUCUCUUUUGUGUGUUAUACAAAAAGGGGGCCCAAACCUUUUUAGUUUGGGGAU